rnacentral:lncRNA from 1 species
GCUGACUCUACACGUUUGCAUCCUUCCUCACGGGAACGCGUAGAAGGAAUUUCUUCUGCAAUCUUUUUCUGAAAAUCUGCUAUCUUCAAACAUGGAAAUUAGUCCGUUUGACCACCCGAAUCCAUCCCAAAGCCCCCGGGACCUCAACCAAAAAACCCAACCUACUCUAAAACACCAAACAAACUUGUUCCAAUCAUAAAAACACACACAACAACACCAAAAUCAUCAAAUUACCAGGGAUUCAAACCUAACUUUUCAUAAAACUUCUGAAACAAAGNNNNNNNNCUUUUUGACCACCCGAAUCCAUCCCGAGGCCCCCGGGACCUCAACCAAAAACACCAACCUACUCUAAAACACCAUACGAACUUGUUCCAAUCAUAAAAACAGAAACAACAACACAAAAAUCAUCAAAUUACCACGGAUUCAAUCUUAAAUUUUCUUAAAACUUUUGAAACUCAUAUUCGAUCAAAAACUCGACCAAACGACAUCCGAAUGACCUAAAAAUUUGCAGACAUAUCCAAAGUCACCUAACGAAGCUACUACAACUCUCAGAAUUUCAUUUCAACCCUCGGACCAAAAUCUCACCUAUAAACCGGAAUCCGCCAAAAUUCAAACUUCGCCAAUUCAAGCAUAAUUCCACACCGGACCUCCAAAUUCAAUUCUGAUCGCUCGCCUAAGUCACAAAUCAUCUCUCGAAGCUAACCGAACAAUCGAAAAUUACAUCCGAGCCUUCUAACUCACAAGUCAACUUCCGGUUGACUUUUCCAAAACAGGCUUCCUUCUAAGAGGCCAUGCGCCUUAUUUUCAACCAAAACCAGUUCAAUUACACUCGGUCGACUCUAAUACUGAUAUUGAAACAUGAAGCAACACAACAAGGGGGAAACGAAGCAUUAACACAUAAGUCGACGGGUCGGGUCUUCACACACGUUAUUAGCUUUGGGGAAGGCCGUGAAAUUCACUAAACGGCCCAUCCCAAAAUUUAAGUAUUUUAAUACAAACAUUUAUUGAGGGCCCUGCAAUUUACGUGUUUUAUUGAGGGCCCUUAAAUUUGAAUACCAUUAUCUGGACGUUGGCCUUCUAUACAUUGAAGUACUGGUUUCCAUUUUAAACCAUGAUGCAGGGAAUUUCAAAUCUCAUAAAACUCGAUCAUCUCAACUAAAGCCCAAAACAGUUUGACGCCUAAACCAAAUGGAUUUGAUUCUAAUUCUAAAGUUCAGACUUCCUUAUCUAUAUCUUCUGAUGAGUUUCUGAAUAUCAACAGCAAUUUUAAGUUUAUUUAUUACUAAAGGCAAAAAACAACUAAAAAUAUAGACUAGAUUCGACAAAAUGCUCAUGAAUGUAAACCUCAAAUAUAUAAACUGAACAACUUGAUUACUUCAUUAACUAUUAUAGCUUUCAAAUUUACUAACACACUCAUUUAAUAUCCCAAACAACCCUAUGACUGAUUGAAAUUAAAAUAACUACUGGAAACCUUUACUAAUCAUGACUUGGUUCUACCAUCCUACAACGAAAAUAACUAACUCAUGUCUAACUAAUAACACUCACACAAAUCGGAGAAAAAUAGUCUCACACAGUCCAAUAUGAAUCAAACAGUCCAAACAAUUUAGAAGUAAUCCUAAUUAAAGUCCAAAUCAUUACAGUCGACUAUAAUGAAAACAUCGCAACAAUUGGAGCUUCCAUUAGAAUUAUGCUUCCAUUUCAUUUCAUUUCAGCUGAAGAUCUACAUGAUUCUAAGAUUCAGGAUAGGUACCCGGGUGUUAAAUCACAGUAAGAAGAAGGUAAGAAGAAGCAGCAACAGAGGUUAUAUAACAGCUCAAAUUAGAGUUCACAGCUUCAACAAACAAUAUCAAUACUAAUCUAGAAUUGCAUUCCGAGAGGGACAGUAUCAAUAAUAAACCAAAUGAACUUGAAGAAAACCCAGACAAACUCAGAACUAGACCAGGACCACUUCUGAAAUCAACAGCUAAUAAAAACAGCCUGAAACAGUCUCACUAGAACCCAAACCCACUCGAGAUGCACUCAGGAAUCUCCAGAAAAUUUCAGUAACCAAACUAUAGACUAAAUGUUGCAAAUCAAAUACCGAAAUUCAAAAUCAACCUGAAAACUUUCAAUAGAACUGUUUUUUUGAUUUUCUGUAGUUUCUGUUUUUGUAUUUUUGUUUUCUGUUGGGAUGAACUAAGAUCUAAAGAGCUUUGAAUUUUGAAUUCAAAUUUAAGAUCUGCUGAAAUUAUAUAGACUAUUUUUUGGGCGGA